rnacentral:rRNA from 1 species
UUGAACGCUGGCGGCAUGCCUUACACAUGCAAGUCGAACGGCAGCACGGGAGCAAUCCUGGUGGCGAGUGGCGAACGGGUGAGUAAUAUAUCGGAACGUGCCCAGUCGUGGGGGAUAACGUAGCGAAAGCUACGCUAAUACCGCAUACGAUCUACGGAUGAAAGCGGGGGAUCGCAAGACCUCGCGCGAUUGGAGCGGCCGAUAUCAGAUUAGGUAGUUGGUGAGGUAAAGGCUCACCAAGCCGACGAUCUGUAGCUGGUCUGAGAGGACGACCAGCCACACUGGGACUGAGACACGGCCCCAGACUCCUACGGGAGGCAGCAGUGGGGAAUUUUGGACAAUGGGCGCAAGCCUGAUCCAGCAAUGCCGCGUGCAGGAUGAAGGCCUUCGGGUUGUAAACUGCUUUUGUACGGAACGAAACGGUGAGCUCUAAUACAGUUUGCAAUGACGGUACCGUAAGAAUAAGCACCGGCUAACUACGUG